rnacentral:lncRNA from 1 species
AAAAUGAAAAAAAUUCAUCGGAUAUUUCUUGAGUUCUCACCAUUCAGCACAAGUACUUCAGUGAAUAUAAAGGGACCAGCAAGUCAAGGACCAUGUUUCUUAGGAUUAUUACGAGAGCUGUUAGUGGUACAUGUAUAUAGUCCAUAA